GCCCAAUCCUACUAUAUCCAGACAUAUAUAAAUGUUUGUAGGGUUUCCUAAAUGAUGUUGUUAUCUUCUACGCUGUUCCAGCUUAGUUUCAAUUGAAAAAUGGAUCCGCCAUCUCUGAAUCAACAAUUUGUGAGGCUUUCUCUGUGAAUCAUCAACAUUGUUCCCUGGAGAUUGCAAAUUCCUUCUAUUAACAGCUCUCAAAAAUAUGGCUGGGAUGGAGGUAGGGGAUGCUUGGACCCGCACAUGUUUGAACUGUAUUCUGCUUCUCAGGUGGAUUAGGUGCUUCCAUCUCACUCAACCCUCCCCUUUUACCUAGAGUCUAUUUUUGAUGGCUGUGUUUGUAUAGGCUAGGCAGCUUUUGUAUUUAGCUAUAGCCUUAAUCAACCGCAUAUCCUUUUUUCAGUGAAACUCUAAUGUAUGGACACUGUAGCUUAUCACUGUAUAGGAUUUUCUUUUCUUUGACUUCUAGUUGCUGAAAAGGCGUUAUGCUGAAUCCUCCUUUAUCAAUUAUUGUAUUUGCUAAAUGAUCUGCCAA